rnacentral:tRNA from 1 species
GAGGUUGUAGCUCAGUGGCAGAGCAUCCGGAUAUCCGGGAGGUCGGGGGUUCGAUUCCCUUCAGCUUCACCA